UACGUAGGGCGCAAGCGUUGUCCGGAAUUAUCGGGCGUAAAGAGCUCGUAGGCGGUUUGUCGCGUCUGCUGUGAAAGCCCGGGGCUCAACCCCGGGUCUGCAGUGGGUACGGGCAGACUAGAGUGCAGUAGGGGAGACUGGAAUUCCUGGUGUAGCGGUGAAAUGCGCAGAUAUCAGGAGGAACACCGAUGGCGAAGGCAGGUCUCUGGGCUGUAACUGACGCUGAGGAGCGAAAGCAUGGGGAGCGAACAGG
rnacentral:rRNA from 1 species